rnacentral:lncRNA from 1 species
CGGCAAUGAUGUAGCGACACAUCAAGCGGCAGACGAUAUAGCUGACAACAUCAAGCAUGUCCUGGAAUGUGCGGCCGCCAUAGCCAGGAAGGUUUUCUGGUUCGUCAUACCCCCUCGCCUCAAUGAAGGCGAAAACGGGAAGAAGAGGAUGCGUGUGAACGCAAUGACAAGGCAGCAUGUGGCAGCAAUGACAAACGUCAUCUGCAUAAAUUUGGAAGACAGGUUCCUUGGAAAAGCCAGGGCCAUGAAGCCAGCUUUCUACGGCGCUGACGGAUACCAUGUGUCCCGGGGAGCCGGCAUAAAGGCCCUGGCCAGGGCACUGAGCCUUGCCGUCAGGGCUGCUUUCAGAGCAGAAUGGCAGCCAUGUGGCAGGAAGACUGC